CGCAAAUUAACUGUCAGACAUCGUUGCAUCAUCUAGACCAAAGAUAUUGUAAAGAAAGAUGAAGUUAAUAGUUUUAUCACUAGCAAUGGUUGCUUGUAUUUUGAGUGUGAAUGGGUACAGUUUUAAACGUACUGCUGAUACUCUUGGUGACAAAGAAAAGGGGCUCUUGAGAAGAAUGGGCGUGGGAAUGGCAAAGGAAAAAUUCGGCGAAGAUGGUGCAAAAGAGGGCGCCAGAAUGUUGGACAUGUGCCUGGACAAACCUUUAAGAGACAUAGAGUGCUGCGUGAAAGGAGAAGGUAAAAAAAUAUGUGAACAUGAUGGUGUAGACGUUGCCACUUGCAAGGAAAUUGAAAGGCUGGUGGAUGAAACACUAGAAGCAGGUGAAGCUGUAUAUCAGGUAGGAUGCCUUGACAUGGAAGGAGUUGCACCAUCGGAGUGCGCCAAAGAAUUAUGUAUGCUAUAUUGUGAAAAAAGAUAUGAAGAUGAGUCUAGCGAUUGCGACGAAGAAUGUGGAAAAUUCGGAAGUCAUUUCGAAGAAGAAGAAAAAGAAGAAGAAGAGAAAUCCGAAAAAGACCUUUCACUUAAACAUCUUCGUUCCAUGUUGAAAAUUAGAAAAUUCAAAAAUUUCGUCAAGAGGAAGUAGAAACCAACGUUAAAAACCCGGUUAAUCUGCACUCAAAACGACCGAAUGGACAACAACCUUACAAUAUAAUAUUGUUAAAUUUUGAAAUAAACUUAUAAUUGAAUAAAUAUUUGCAUUCUU